GACAUGGUUGGGGACAUCCGAUAAAAUUGAAACGAUACAGAGAAGAUUAGGAUGGCCCCUGUGCAAGGAUGACAAGCACAACUCGAGAUCAUGACACAUGCAU